rnacentral:rRNA from 1 species
CGCUGGCGGCAUGCCUUACACAUGCAAGGUCGAACGGCAGCACGAGAGCAAUCCUGGUGGCGAGUGGCGAACGGGUGAGUAAUAUAUCGGAACGUGCCCAGUCGUGGGGGAUAACGUAGCGAAAGCUACGCUAAUACCGCAUACGAUCUAUGGAUGAAAGCGGGGGAUCGCAAGACCUCGCGCGAUUGGAGCGGCCGAUAUCAGAUUAGGUAGUUGGUGAGGUAAAGGCUCACCAAGCCGACGAUCUGUAGCUGGUCUGAGAGGACGACCAGCCACACUGGGACUGAGACACGGCCCAGACUCCUACGGGAGGCAGCAGUGGGGAAUUUUGGACAAUGGGCGCAAGCCUGAUCCAGCAAUGCCGCGUGCAGGAUGAAGGCCUUCGGGUUGUAAACUGCUUUUGUACGGAACGAAACGGUGAGCUCUAAUACAGUUUGCUAAUGACGGUACCGUAAGAAUAAGCACCGGCUAACUACGUG